GUACCGGUGGCUGCAAAAGUAACCUCGCCCUUUUUGCGACAGCGGGCUGAGGGGCGGUGGCAGCCCUGAGGGACUGAGGCGGUCAGCGGCGGGAGGCCUGGGCGGGCUCGGUCCUCGCAGCGACCGUUACACCCGUUAACGGGCGUUACACCUGCAGCGGUCGUCUUGUGGCGGGCCGGAGCGUUGCGCGGGGAUCGGCUGCUGCAUGCGGGCCUGGUGCUGCGGAGCGCCGUGCCCGUGCUCACAGGGCCCGAGGAGGCGGCGGGAAGAUGCCGAUUUGGCACCUGCAAAUUCCAGGUUUCCAUGGUGACAACAUUGCUGGUAAUUGCCAGGUGAUGGGAAGAAUUCGGGACUGGAGGAACCAGACAGGGCAAGAUUUGGAAAUGUCAGUGGAGUGUGAGAAGGCAUAAUAAAGCAGUGAAGAGAAACUGAAGGAAGUACUGCAUGUCUUGCUCCUGAGAAAACUGAUUCUGAAGUAAUUGGGCAAAAUAGGUAUAUAUGUAGUAAAAUCUAAAAAGGCUGAAAGUGUGUGGAAAGCAUGGGUUACGAUAUUGAACGUUUUGUUGGCUACGUUAAUGAAGGGCUCUUAUGCUCCAUCUGCCGUGAUGUGUUGGAAGAUCCGCUACAGGCUCCUUGUGAGCACGCUUUCUGUACUGCUUGUAUACAUGGGUGGCUUGUUCAUCACAGUAACUGCCCUGAAGACAGACAAGUGAUUGAUGUGUCUGUGCUACGACCUCUGUACAGAUACAUGAAAAAUGAUCUAAACCGUCUUCAGCUACAUUGCAAAAACAGAGAGUAUGGCUGUGAAAUGGUUUGCUCUCUAGAGUCUAUAGACCGGCAUGAGAGGGAGUGUGAAUACAGUCAGAUACCGUGCUCCAAUGCUGGCUGUACAGUUCAGAUUGAGCGCCGUAACCUUGAUGGCCACUUGGCAGUGUGUGAAUAUCGGAGCCGCGAGUGCCCCAAUGGUUGUGGUUACACCAUUCUCAGUGCAGAAGACACACAGCAUAAUUGUGUAGCAGAGCUGAGGACGGAGCUAGAACUUCUUCGGUCAGAAAUGAUCUGCAGAGUGGAGGAAGCAAAGCAUGAGAUGGAAUCAAGGUUGGAUUCACAGAGAAGACAUAUGGUCCAAAAAGAGAGUGUUCUGCAAAAUGAAAUCGAAGAGCUCAAGAGUCAGAUGUCACGAGUGAUGUCGGAUGUACGUUCCCUCAUGGCUGCAGAGAGACAGCAUCGACAAGAACUGGAGCAAGCGGAGCUGGAGAAACGGGAGCUAAUGGAGCUGCUGAGGGGGCUGCAGAAGGACUGUCGCUUAAGUACUGCAGAAGGAAGCAGGAAGACAACAAACUUCCGCCCGCUGACGCGACUAGAGAGUGCAAAACGAAAACCGAGGGAAGUUACAGUUAUCUAAACAGAAGUAAGCUCAACAAGCAUCUCUUAGUUUCUGUGACCAUCUGGCAAACUUUUCUACUCUCCAUGAAUGACUGGUAGAUCGUUUCUGAUUUGCUCACUUUCUUUUUCAAAGCUCUCUUUCCUCUUGGGCCACAGAAACAAAUGGGAGAGUUUUUUCAUAUGGAAUGUGGAGCGUUAAACCUAUCUGUAGGAGGUAUAUUUCAAAGGUGAAAAGAGAGCACUUUAAAUUCCAAUUCUGCUGCUGUGUAAGAGCUUCAAGUGAAGAUGACUUAACCUCAGAGCUUCUCUAACUUCCAAGGAUUGAGAGAUACACACUUAAGAGAUAUGUACCAAAGCCCAAGGUAAUAGCAUCACCUAGAAACUUCUACAUAGAUCUGUGUGUAGCUUGGAGUUUGAGGGACGAGGUCUUGCAUUUUACGUAAUUAUUUGGAGAUUUUCUUUGUGAAGGUAUCGGAUUUCUACCAGGUCCUUUAAACCUCAGUUCAGUCCAUUCAGUACUCAAUAUCUUUAAGAGAGACAUAAGUACUUUGGUAGAGCAUCUCUAAUUUUCUUUUGGCUGAUUUAAGGCUAUUUGUACAUCAGUAUCCACAACAGAGGGCUAUUUGCAGAGUGGCUUGGACGUGGAAUGUUUUUAUUAGGACUCAAGUCUGCAGCUGUGUAAGAGCUCGGACUUUACAACAGAUGGACAAAUACUGAAUUAAGGGGGCAUGUCCCUGUAAAGACUCUAAUAUUCAUGAGAAAUCUGUACAGUUUGAAGACUUUUCUCUAUACUUCUUACAAAGCCUGUUUGUGUUGAUUUGAGUGCUAUAACUAAGCCAUAUUCUGUCUCCUGGUGCAGCUCUUCAGUGGAAUAACUAGGGAAAAACCUGGCCUCCUGCUUACUGAGUACGCUACAUCAGUUUUCAGGAAAGCUGAGUGCAGGCACAACCGUCUUAAUAAACCUGUUCUCUAGUUUAGAAAACAAGUACAUUUCUGGGUCUAAUUUCCUAUCACUAAGAGCAACACUUUUAUGGCUAAAAACAUAACCAAAGAGAGAGACUGCAAUCUUCUUUAGCACAUAUUCUACAUUAGAAGGACUUGUGGUCAGUUUUCUUUAUUUCGGGCAUUAAUAAAUCCUUCUGACUCGCUGUUCCUUCCGUGCAGCUGAAACAACUGCACACAUCUUCAGUUUUUAUGCAUUUAAAACUAACAAACAACUCUCCUGAAAAGGUUUUGUUUUGUUUUUUGAAGCUAUUCACGGGAAGAGCUAUGACCAAAUAUUUAUUUGGUUUUCACUUCACUCUUUUUAUAUCCUAGAUUGAACUACAAUCAUCGACAUGAUUUAGGUCAUUAUUAGCAGUCUCUUCCAGUUUGUGACAUAGCACCUCUCUUAAGCAGCCAUACUGAACAAAGUGAAGCAGUAGCUAUAAUUUGGGAAGACCUUCAUUCACACCAAACAUUCAGUGGUCGAUUCACAUAUAUCAGCGUGCAGAUUAGAGCUGCAGAUAGAAACUAAGAAUGCUUUUAUUAACUUGUGUUCUAGUUAAAGCUUUAGUGUCUGGUUUUUUCUUUGGUGACAACUGUUUCAACAUUCACACUAAUUUUGAAGCUUCUUAGCAACACCAGAUUUCAUGCUCUUAGGAUCAGUAUACGUGCAGGAUGUGUUUUCCUGUGUUCUGUAAUUGUGUGGUUGUGUGUUGUGACUUCAUCUAUCUUGCUUAAUGUGAAAGAAGAAAAUUCCUUCAAAAUCCUAUGGAACUCAGAUGAGCUGGAUCGUCUUUCCUGAAUUGGAGCACAGUUAUAAUAUUUUCCAUUCUGAACAGGAAAAAAACAAGGAACUAGCUUUGUGCUUUUCUCUUAACAGGAUCUCUGUGUUGGUUCUAAGAAUUUCACCCACUGAUUUUAUCAGUGAAUUCCUUCUAGUAUAGGAGAAAGGGUUUAUUUAACACUUGCUUUGCAAUUGGGCUACUCUUUGUCCCCUAAGUGACACACAUGGACUUGCGUGAGAAAACACAUCUUAAGAGGUAAGGGCUGACUUUCUGCUGCACAAUCUAUGGAGCUUCUGUUUACCAGCUCUGCAGAGUCUGAACUUCCAGUGUUAAAACGGGGCGAUGCUUUGAGCCCACUUGCUGCUGGAAUGACCUGUCAGCUUGGGUCUCCUCGAGCUGAAAGAAAGCACAAAGGUAUUUUAAAUGGGGUUAUACUACCCGGUAGCAAGUGGUUCCUUCUGGCUAUUUAAGACUGACCCUGCUCCUCAGUGAUGAUAACUGUUCUGCACUUCAGAUGUUCCUCUGCUAGCGAACUGCACACAGGGCAGUGUAUGUUAAAUGAAAUGAAAUAGCUCAUUAUAAUAAUAUUUUAUCUAGUUCUACUUUUUCCAGUCUCAUGUAUUACACAGCUGAUAAUAGCAGCUACCAGAAGCAAGGAAUUUUUUUUCUUUCAAAUUCUUAUAAAAGGAUUAAGUCAUGGUCCAAAUAUUGUAGUAGACAGUGUAAGUGAAGGUGCUCACUUAGAAGUGCUUCUUGUGACUGGGAACAAGGAUGUUAAAUAUUCUCAUAGUACAUCACAAUGUAACAAAUUCCAUUUCCUCACAGUUGGAACUGUGCUGAGAGCACACUGAACAGUUACUCGAGUGGACCUGUAGCCACCCAAGCAGCUGUACUUGGCAGCUACAACAGAGAGCAAAGUUUGUUGAGGGGGAGACGGGAAAGAACUUCAGGCUGUCUGUCUGCAGAAGCUCAGCCUGAGAGCAGUGAUGCAGCAACAGCAGCCUCUGAAGCAUCUGGCUUACCAACAUCGACUGCUGCCUUGGGGCAUCACUAUUAACGUACCAUUAGAAUUAAAGGGAGAUUGUCUUUGUUCCCAACUAAAUGCAAUAGUACCAAACCUGCAAGAAUCUCAGACAAAACUCAGAGAGAGCAAGUUAUUAAGUGAGAUUACAAGGAGCAAAUCCUUAUCCUACAUUAAAUUGGGUGAAAAUAAAGAGUAAGGAUAUAUUUUAAGACAUUAACACUUUUAAAGUGAGUGGAAAGUUUGGCUUUGAAAGAAAAAUCAACAUUUACCUAAUUAUUCUGAAGACUCGUAAGACACCAGUUAAAAGUAUUUUGAAAUUAGUUCUUAAACUGAACUUGAGGGGUCAAAUUCAAGCCAAAAUACUGCUUCCUCAGUUUCCUUUAUGGUUAAAGCUACGUUCCCAUUCUCCUGCACUCCUCCCAAAGCCAAGUCAGUGGUCUCAGUCAGGGUUGAACCAUUGCUCAUAGGAUUACUUUACUUGGAAAUAGUUGGGAGCGCUUCCAGUAAGUUUAGCUGACUUGGAAUGGAGAACCAUGCAUCUGAGUCAGAUGCAGGAGUUGCAAAGCAGAAUUCUGCUGGUCUUGCUCAUAAAGAUGACAGGUUUUAGAACAACUCUAGUACUAGAUUAACAGUCCUUCAUGAGGUUUGCUUAACACUGUGGAAUCACAGAAUGGCUGAGGUUAGCAUGGAAUUCUGGAGGCCAUCUGAUCCAAGCCCCUGCUGGAGCAUGGACACCCAGAGCAGGGUGCCCAGGGCUGUGUCCACAAAUACGGGAGUCUCUUGUCAGGGCAGAACGGAAUGGAAUUGCAUAUUAAAGCAAAAUACCUAGUACAAUGGAGAAUUUUGACUGGGAAGAAGUGUUUAAGUCUCAAAUGCUUUUAAGUGUUAGGCGCUUUUAAGAAAUUCAGUGCGUUAAUAGACCUCAAUUCCUAGGAUAUAUAAUACAGACAGUCUCACAAAUCAGAUUUUCCAUACAUUUCCCUCUUGGAUGUUUCUGGUAUGGUGCUUUUCUACAGCUGUCUUACUUACUUAAAAGUGCUGGAUAAUAUUUAAAAGGAGCAGUGCUGGCCUUUCCUUUCUUGUGUACUGCUCACAGGAUGAAGUAUGGUAGGUCAGGGAGAUUUUACCACAGACAGAUGCCUUUAUAAAGACCUACAAUUCUAUGCAACUUUAUAUAUAAACAAAUAAACACUGAAUUGUCUUCCAGCAUAUGGUUCACUGCCAGCCUAGUUACAUUUUCUACCUUUAUAAAUACAAGGGUAAAACAGUGCUUAACAGACCUUAAUCUCUAGUCUGUAAAAGAAACAGUAUUUGUAUCACUUUGAAGUACAGUUUGUAUAAAAGUUGAACUAAUAAAGGGUUAUACCAUAA